AUUGAACGCUGGCGGCAGGCUUAACACAUGCAAGUCGAGCGGAGAUGAGGUGCUUGCACCUUAUCUUAGCGGCGGACGGGUGAGUAAUGCUUAGGAAUCUGCCUAUUAGUGGGGGACAACAUUCCGAAAGGAAUGCUAAUACCGCAUACGUCCUACGGGAGAAAGCAGGGGAUAUUCGGACCUUGCGCUAUUAGAUGAGCCUAGGUCGGAUUAGCUAGUUGGUGGGGUAAAGGCCUACCAAGGCGACGAGCUGUAGCGGGUCUGAGAGGAUGAUCCGCCACACUGGGACUGAGACACGGCCCAGACUCCUACGGGAGGCAGCAGAGGGGAAUAUUGGACAAUGGGGGGAACCCUGAUCCAGCCAUGCCGCGUGUGUGAAGAAGGCCUUAUGGUUGUAAAGCACUUUAAGCGAGGAGGAGGCUACUGAGACUAAUACUCUUGGAUAGUGGACGUUACUCGCAGAAUAAGCACCGGCUAACUCUGUGCCAGCCGCCGCCGUAAUAC
rnacentral:rRNA from 1 species